UGGCUUUCUACAGCUCUGCAUCUGAGUAAUUUCCAUUCGUCCAUGCUCUCACAUGUAUCAUAGGCUAAAUCGGGAAAGAUCUGAGUAGGAUAUGGGACAUUCAGGAUGGAGGUAUUUCCAGGAGGAAACAGGUAUCUGAGACCCAAUCACUGCAGGACACCACAGCACAGAGCUUUAUUGGCUGCUGAGUGAACCGAGCUCCCACAACACCUUCCUUCCCAAGAGAUCCCACAAAACAGGUUUGAUGGCAACCCUCUCCUCCCUGCUGGGUACCAGCUAUCUCAUGCUCGUGCAA
rnacentral:lncRNA from 1 species